GACGAACGCUUGCGGCGUGCUUAACACAUGCAAGUCGAACGGAAAGGCCCUGCUUUUGUGGGGUGCUCGAGUGGCGAACGGGUGAGUAACACGUGAGUAACCUGCCCUUGACUUUGGGAUAACCUCAGGAAACUGGGGCUAAUACCGGAUAGGAGCUCCUGCUGCAUGGUGGGGGUUGGAAAGUUUCGGCGGUUGGGGAUGGACUCGCGGCUUAUCAGCUUGUUGGUGGGGUAGUGGCUUACCAAGGCUUUGACGGGUAGCCGGCCUGAGAGGGUGACCGGCCACAUUGGGACUGAGAUACGGCCCAGACUCCUACGGGAGGCAGCAGUGGGGAAUAUUGCACAAUGGGCGGAAGCCUGAUGCAGCAACGCCGCGUGCGGGAUGACGGCCCUCGGGUUGUAAACCGCUUUCGCCUGUGACGAAGCGUGAGUGACGGUAAUGGGUAAAGAAGCACCGGCUAACUACGUGCCAGCAGCCGCGGUGAUACGUAGGGUGCGAGCGUUGUCCGGAUUUAUUGGGCGUAAAGGGCUCGUAGGUGGUUGAUCGCGUCGGAAGUGUAAUCUUGGGGCUUAACCCUGAGCGUGCUUUCGAUACGGGUUGACUUGAGGAAGGUAGGGGAGAAUGGAAUUCCUGGUGGAGCGGUGGAAUGCGCAGAUAUCAGGAGGAACACCAGUGGCGAAGGCGGUUCUCUGGGCCUUUCCUGACGCUGAGGAGCGAAAGCGUGGGGAGCGAACAGGCUUAGAUACCCUGGUAGUCCACGCUGUAAACGGUGGGUACUAGGUGUGGGGUCCAUUCCACGGGUUCCGUGCCGUAGCUAACGCUUUAAGUACCCCGCCUGGGGAGUACGGCCGCAAGGCUAAAACUCAAAGGAAUUGACGGGGCCCCGCACAAGCGGCGGAGCAUGCGGAUUAAUUCGAUGCAACGCGUAGAACCUUACCUGGGUUUGACAUGGAUCGGGAGUGCUCAGAGAUGGGUGUGCCUCUUUUGGGGUCGGUUCACAGGUGGUGCAUGGCUGUCGUCAGCUCGUGUCGUGAGAUGUUGGGUUAAGUCCCGCAACGAGCGCAACCCUUGUUCACUGUUGCCAGCACGUUAUGGUGGGGACUCAGUGGAGACCGCCGGGGUCAACUCGGAGGAAGGUGGGGAUGACGUCAAGUCAUCAUGCCCCUUAUGUCCAGGGCUUCACGCAUGCUACAAUGGCUGGUACAGAGAGUGGCGAGCCUGUGAGGGUGAGCGAAUCUCGGAAAGCCGGUCUCAGUUCGGAUUGGGGUCUGCAACUCGACCUCAUGAAGUCGGAGUCGCUAGUAAUCGCAGAUCAGCAACGCUGCGGUGAAUACGUUCCCGGG
rnacentral:rRNA from 1 species